GACGAACGCUGGCGGCGUGCCUAAUACAUGCAAGUAGAACGCUGAAGACAGGAGCUUGCUCGUCUUGGAUGAGUUGCGCACGUGUGAGUAACGCGUAUAUAACCUGCCUUGUUUCGGGGUAAAACUAUGAGACACGAUAUCUAAUCCCGCAUGACUAUGUAUGACACAUUUGGGUUAUGUGAAAUUCGCAAGUUCUGCACGGCAAGGUGGACCUGCGUUGUAUUAGGUAGUAGGUGAGGUAACGGCUCACCUAGGGGACGAUACAUAGCCGAACUGAGAGGGGGAUCGGCCAGACUGGGACUGAGACCCGGCACAGAGGGCUAGGGGAGGCAGCAGUAGGGCAUCUUCGGCAAUGGGGGGAAAACUGAGCGAGAAACGCCGAGGGAGGGAAGAAGGUUUUCGGAUGGUAAAGCUCUGUUGUAAGUUAAGAAAGCGUGUGAGAGUGGAAAGUUGACAGUGUGACGGUAGCUUAUAAGAAAGCAACGGCUAACUACGUG
rnacentral:rRNA from 1 species